rnacentral:misc_RNA from 1 species
AUGAAGAAGUAUACUGCCAUAGAUAAAUGGAACACCCAGUUGAAAUCCCUCUUUCAAACUGUCAGCAACCGAGUAUAUUGAUGUCUUAUUGGAUGGAUAACCUAAUUGUUGUUUCAUUUACAUCUUCAAGAGUGUCGAGGAAUCUCCCAAGUCUAAUUUUUUGAGUUUAAGUUCUACGCGUUGUCUGUUUAAAGCACAAUGUGAAUGACACUGUAAAAUGUUGUUUGGAAACUCUAUCAGAUGUCCCCAGCUACCUAGAAAGAGCCACA